rfam:Aedes albopictus isolate Foshan contig55847, whole genome shotgun sequence.
UGUUCUGCGGCUUUGUUGGUUAAAGCGCCGGUCUAGCGAAUUCGGAAUCGUGGGUUCGAAUCUCACCAGAACAC